ensembl:lncRNA
AGAUUAUGUACGGUACGAAGUUAGCGCGCGCAGCUGAAGCCGUUCCGCUGUCUAACGCUAGGAGCCCAAACGGAGGCGGCGCUCAGCCUCAAAGCGACCAGAGCGGCUUAGCGCGCGCACACGUUCAACCAUUCCCCGCUCCUUCUACUUUUAUUAUAGUUAAGAGAUCCGAGCAGAUUCGAGCUCAGGCGGAGAGAUCGGAGGUCCCACUGCGAGCGUGUGUGUGUGUGUGUGUGUGUGUGUGGGCGCGCGCGCGCGCGCGCGUGUGUGUGUUUAUUGGAAGAGAGAGCAGCGCCUGUUUAUUUGAGCAAAGUGUUUUAACACGAGGACGCAUCAUCACUCCGGCAUAAAAGGAGACCAAAGCAUGAAGCCAGCGGCAGCGUUUUACAGAUCGAAGAUGCUCUUCUUGAUCACGAUAGUGAUGAUCGCACCGGGGAAAGAGUGUGAUUCAUGAGGGACUGAUCACCAAUCGCAUGCAUCUGUGGGUUGUAAGUAAGUAAGCAGAAGAGAGGUGCUGUAUUUCUCUGUCUGUCUGUUCCUCUCGAUCUCCUUGAUUCUUUUGCUCUCGCUGCCUGUGUCCUGACAGAAAACUUUCUGUGUCACCCAAGAAAGAGGUAAUCCCUUUAGUGCUCCUAAUAAAUAUAGAUGCCCAGAAAUCUCGCCAUACUGUCCCGGUGAGACUGCCUCUGGCAGUGGACGCACAUCUGUUUGAGACAUGCUGCACAAUGAUGAAUCGGAUUAUAUUACUUUAACCUAUAAAGUAUGAAUUUGACAACGCCGUCAUAUCUGUAUGCAGGGCUGUGUACUGUAACUGUUACUGUAACAGCAUGGACUUAACUCAGUGACAUAUAACACUUAUUGCAAUAAUAUUCUGACUUUAUUUUAUUUCAUAUUAGGGCACUAAUGUAUGUAUGUAUAAGUGUAUCUGUCAUUUAAAUUUAGGAAUUUCACGUCACAUUGGUUGUUUACAUGCAAAGAUUUCUAUCACCUUGAUUUACGAUGCAAUAAUCUGAUUUCUACAUACAGUUUAUACAGUACAUAUUCCGAUAUGUGUUUACAUAGAGUUACGUAGAGUAUAAUCAUGUUUCUCUUUAAAUACAUUACUGUGCAAAGGCACUGUGUCUUAGGCGCAUGCAAAGAAAUGCUGUACAGCAAAGAUUCCUUCAAAAAUAAAGAAAUUAAAUGCUUCUACAUUUAAAAAAUUAGUAAUAAACAGAACUAUAUGAAACAAAGUCAAUAUUUAGUUUGCUUUAAAAAAAGAAUUAGUCUCAGGUACACUUUCUGCAGUUUUAUAAGGAAAUGAGCUGUAAGUUUUAUAGAGCAUCUUGCAGAACCAGUCACGGUUCUUCUGGAGACUUUGACUGCUGCACUUGCUUCUUAUUUUUGCAGCAAAACCCAGCAGCCUUCAUUAUGUUUUUUGUCUGAAAAGUGCUCUCUUACGUAACAUGCUGCUUUCUGUCCUGACAUACACACAUUUUGCUGAAAAACUAAUGGUUGGGAAUCUAAAAAUGUUUUUGUACUGACUAGAUAAUGUAGAAAUCAUAAAAUAAAAAUAUAUAAUAAAGUUUGUACUAAAAAAUAAUGACUUUAAAAAGACUUUUUCAAAAAAGCCACAGAAAAAUCCAGCGUUUUUGGCCACAACAAUCAUAAAAAACUCCACAAACACCUGUAUAGACUGUAUUAUCAUAUUUCUGUUUACAUAAAGGUUACAUAUAAUCCACUUUCUGUUUACUUAUAUGCUACAUGUGUCUGAUCUCUGUUUACAUACAGGAUGCAUGUAAUCUAUAAUCUCUGUUUAUGCAGUAUAUAGGUUAAAUAUAAUCUGAUCACUGUUUAUAUAGGUAACAAAAAUAUAAACUGAUCACUCUUUAUGUAAUUUGAUCCAGAGAAGCGUUGUCUAGUCUCAAUGUUACCAUAACAACAAGAAGCACAUGUGUCCUGUCAGUGUGCAGCAUGUUAAGAAUGUUGAAUCAAUAUGCUUGUAUAUUUUAACAAGUAUUUUAAUUGGAAAAAAAAAAAAAAAACAACAUUCUCCAGUUGUCUUUAUUGAACAGAGAAGUAUUUAUGAAUGCGAUGAAGCUGGCUCAGCAUUAUAUAUUUUCCUGGCCACUUUACUCCAGUGAAUUAGCAUUCUGCGUCUGCCUGGAAUGUCACACAACGCCUUAAUGUAGAUUCGACCUCCACAAUCCAACCUCACAAAUAUUUUUAUUUGUUUAAAAUGUAUGAAAUAAUUAGUUUCUUUGUAGGACGGUUAGAAUCACAGAGAUGUAAAGCGCACACAGAUUCUGACUGUGAAUCAGGCUUACAUGGCUAUUAUUCUUCAGUUUAUUGGAUUAUUAAAAGGAUUACUUCAUUCAGAUUUGGACUGAUGCCUCACUCGGUUUAUUCUAUUCUGGUUGAGGUACACUUUUUUCUGGUUUCAUUAUCUGAGCCAUCAGUCAGGUUAUUAACAGAUCAUUGCGCUGCAUGCAAAUACAGCUAUUGUGUGUUUUGACUGCUGUAUUGGGUGCAUUCAAUUGUGUUCGGCCCUAAAAUGCUGUAAGUUGUUGAAGCACUACGGUGUUGUGCAAGAUAAUGAAAAUAACAUGCAAACUCAACUUUUGCUGCUUUUCACAGAUCACUUGUUUUUUAACUGGUGCAUUAUGCAGAGUAAACUGCUAAAUACAUCACAACAAGCAUUACUGCAUUUUUAUGUGCAGACUCGAUUACUAUAACAUGAGCAGCACCUGAAAAAUUAGACAUUUUAAAAUAAUUUCAUGCAACCCCAAGUAAACUGAACCAUACUGAUUGGUGAAUUAAUGAUGUGAUGUUACAUACAGUUUUAUUCGUAUAUUUACUAGCACCUAUACUUAUACUUAGUAAGUUAUGCCACACAGUUCAACAGUUUAACAUAGGUAUUGUGCACACACACACACACACACACACACACACACACACACACACACACACACACACACACACACACACACACACACACACCACCAUUUUGACCCCGUGUUUCUAAUUUGUAUUCGUUUUUGCUGCAG